rnacentral:rRNA from 1 species
AAUCUUCCACAAUGGACGAAAGUCUGAUGGAGCAACGCCGCGUGAGCGAAGAAGUAUUUCGGUAUGUAAAGCUCUAUCAGCAGGGAAGAAAAUGACGGUACCUGACUAAGAAGCCCCGGCUAACUACGUGCCAGCAGCCGCGGUAAUACGUAGGGGGCAAGCGUUAUCCGGAUUUACUGGGUGUAAAGGGAGCGUAGGUGGCGAGUCAAGUCAGAUGUGAAAGCCCGGGGCUCAACCCCGGGAUUGCAUUUGAAACUGGUUUGCUAGAGUGCAGGAGAGGUAAGUGGAAUUCCUAGUGUAGCGGUGAAAUGCGUAGAUAUUAGGAGGAACACCAGUGGCGAAGGCGGCUUACUGGACUGUAACUGACACUGAGGCUCGAAAGCGUGGGGAGCAAACA